GCUUUCGUGGUGUAGUGGUCAGCACGCUCGACGCGUAACCGAGAGGUUCGGGGUUCGAAUCCCGGCGAAGGCG
rfam:Stegodyphus mimosarum contig5567, whole genome shotgun sequence.